GGAGCAAACAGGAUUAGAUACCCUGGUAGUCCACGCCCUAAACGAUGAAUACUAGAUGUUUGGUGCCAAGCGUACUGAGUGUCGUAGCUAACGCGAUAAGUAUUCCGCCUGGGAAGUACGGCCGCAAGGUUAAAACUCAAAGGAAUUGACGGGGGCCCGCACAAGCGGUGGAGCAUGUGGUUUAAUUCGAUGCAACGCGAAGAACCUUACCUGGGCUUGACAUGUCUGGAAUCCUGCAGAGAUGCGGGAGUGCCCUUCGGGGAAUCAGAACACAGGUGCUGCAUGGCUGUCGCCAGCUCGUGUCGUGAGAUGUUGGGUUAAGUCCCGCAACGAGCGCAACCCUUGUCCUUAGUUGCCAGCGGUUCGGCCGGGCACUCUAGGGAGACUGCCGGUGACAAACCGGAGGAAGGUGGGGAUGACGUCAAGUCCUCAUGGCCUUUAUGUCCAGGGCUACACACGUGCUACAAUGGCGCGUACAGAGGGAAGCCAAGCCGCGAGGUGGAGCAGACCCCAGAAAGCGCGUCGUAGUUCGGACUGCAGUCUGCAACUCGACUGCAUGAAGUCGGAAUCGCUAGUAAUCGCUGGAUCAGCAUGCCGCGG
rnacentral:rRNA from 1 species